rnacentral:rRNA from 1 species
UACGUAGGGUGCGAGCGUUGUCCGGAUUUAUUGGGCGUAAAGAGCUUGUAGGCGGCUCGUCACGUCGGGUGUGAAAACUUGCGGCUUAACCGCAAGCCUGCACCCGAUACGGGCGGGCUAGAGUUCGGCAGGGGAGACUGGAAUUCCUGGUGUAGCGGUGGAAUGCGCAGAUAUCGGGAGGAACACCGGUGGCGAAGGCGGUUCUCUGGGCCUUACCUGACGCUGAGGAGCGAAAGCGUGGGGAGCGAACAGG